rnacentral:snoRNA from 1 species
UGUGAACAAUGUGAUUGAUAGUUUGGUAGGAAUCUCAUUGAAUCUGUAAAUUGCUUUGAACAGUAUGGCCAUUUUCACA